rnacentral:piRNA from 1 species
UGCAGCACAGCAAUCCAUUCUUAGCACCA